rnacentral:ncRNA from 1 species
GUUGAAGGUUCCCCCCCGGGGAUUAAAAGGGAAUUCGGUGCCAGGCGUUCGCCCUGAAAUCCGAAGCUGCCCCCGCAACUGUCAUCGGCGAGUGCUUCGCCCCCAUUGCCACUGGAUACGUCCGGGAAGGCGGGUGAAGCGCACUGACCCGAGAGCCAGGAGACCUGCCGCAAC